CAUUACUGCUAUACAGGCAACCACUAUUUAUAGCUGUCCUAAUGGACAAAAUAAAGCUCUUUAUUAUUUACUAUAUGAAAUGUGUUGCUUCCGCCUUGUCUCGUGGUAGCGAGGACUCUUCUCAUUUAGACAUGCUUACUUCAAUGUAUAAGAGAGAGCCUAGCCUAAAACCUCAUGGGUCACCCUGUUGAAAUAAUACAUAUUGCAAACCUUCCUCUGGAGUAAGUUUAUAUUAAUGUUCACCCACAACUCAUAGCUUCAGUGGGUUUUGUUCUAACACGGUAUCUUUUAAAAUUAUCAUGGAAUUCCAAGCCAUCUGUACGCACAACAUCAAAAUGUGUCCAAUAGUGGGUAAGAUGGUGAUUUUCAUGAUGUGAUUGAACCUCUUUACUGAUCCCAACUGGAGACAAAUGUUUGAAACACUCUGGCUUCAUAUGUCAUUCUCUGACAAGAGAAGGGAGCAAUGAUUUAACAAUAAUUUAAAAAUAAACAAAAAAAACCCUUCAAUGGAGUAGGCUUCUAAAUGGUUUCAUAACCGAGCAACAUCUACCUUCUACAUUCAUACAAGACUACAGUUAGGAAAGUCAUUUGUUUGAGACCAACCUGUUAUGUCAGUUAUACUGAAGAUGUCUUAUGUUUUCUUCUAAGUCCUUAUCAGCCAAUGGUAUAAUUUUUAGAAAACCAAGUUAAAGGUCUUCCCAGCAGCCAAGAUUUCAUAAAUUGUACACAGUGUUAUUUGUUGAACUUAAUGAAAGUUAAAAUGUAUCUUGCGGCAAAGCUGUUAUUGUGUUUUUAUAAUUCCUGGAUGAUUGACUUUUAUUUUACUAAUACCUUUCAUCACAAGCUCCUAGAAUCAAGGCAAGUGCACUGUUAGUGUCAUCCUUUUGUUGGGCCCUUUUUACAUAUAUUUUUUUUUCUUGAUUCACAUGACAGGAAAAUUAGGUUGUGAUCUUUUUGCCUGCUCUACGGUGUGUGAUAUUGUUUGCCUGUCUCUUAUGAACGUAAUAAAUAAGACAGCAUAAUGUGGCAGGUCCCUCAUUG